AUAUGAUAUUUUCUUUCGCUCGUAAUAUUAUCUUAUAACUUUUAAUUCAGUCUACUUAUAAUUUAUAAACAUAUAUUUUAGAUAAAAUUAUAAUUAUUUAAAAUUUUUAUCAUGAUUAAAAAAUUAAUUAUUUAUUAUAAAAUAUUUAAUUUUAUAAUUUUUAUAUACGAAGGAUUGUUUUAUGCAUUAGUAUUCGUAACUAACGGUUAGAAAGUACCGAGCCGCGGAAGAUGUCAGGGGUGAUUCACUCGAGUCAUCGCCUCGCUCUCAUCGCUUUUGAACAUCGCAACCCGUCGUUCGCUUCACCUCCGUAAUCGAAGUCGGUGAUGGCUCCUUUUGUCGCCCGCCCGACCCGCCCCGCCGCCGCCGUAGCAGCAACAGCGCCACCAUUCCUCCAUCGCGCUGGCUCCCGGCGGGGCCUAAUAAUCCCAACGAUGUCGGAGUCGGUGAGGGUAGAGUGGCUCGGCGACUCCGAUUCCGGUGGGAUCGUGGAGCUGAAGCUGGGCCGGCCGGAGGCGAAGAACGCGUUCGGGAAGGACAUGCUGCGAUGACUGGGGCUCGGUUCCCAGGGUUUUCUUCGCCGGGACGGAUCUUAAGGCACUCUCUGUUCCAACAAUUGCGGUCAUUGAAGGAGCAGCACCUGGUGGUGGCCUAGAAUUGGCUCUUUCAUGUGAUCUUCGUGUGUGUGUGUGGAGAAGAUUCAACAUUUAGCUUGCUAGAGACUGGACUUGCCAUAAUUCCUGGGUAUGUGUUCAAGCUGGUCAUUGGAGCUGGUGGCUGAUGUGUCGAAUUUUCGACACAAACAGAGCUGGUGGCACCCGACGACGAUCAGCAGCAAAGGAGCUAAUAUUAACGGGUCGAAGGAUUAACGGCAAAGAAGCUCUGUCCAUGGGACUCAUCAAUCACUGUGUUCCUUCUGGAGAUGCGUACCACAAGGCUCUUCGUGUUGCCUGCGUACCACAAUUCUUACGAACAGCCAAGAGGAUUAAACUAAUGCUUCAACGAAGUAUCAUGACAAGAAGAAUUUUUACACAAUUACCUUCCCUUCCCCAUUCAGUACUCUUUUAUCUUUGGAUGGAUUCUAACCAGGGCCUAUCUUUGAAAGGGUUCUUUGGCUACAAGGAUGGCUUAGCAAGCUAUCAACAAAGGCAUGGAAGGAGCUACGCCCCCGGCAGUGGGUGGAGAAGAAGAAUGUUAUGGGCUACUACUGAACACAGCAGACCGUCUUGAAGGACUGGCUGCAUUCACAGAGGAGAAGCGAAAACCCAAAUAUACCUUGGCAAAUAGAACCACACAAUCUAGUUCUUGUUCGGCUGCUUGUUGUAACUUAAAUCAGCAUAAGAUACAAAGGUGUUCGAACCAUAUAAGUUUUAUUCUUUUUAUAAGUAUCAUUUGGACAUAACAGAGUCUUACGUUAACUGGUAAUUGAGACCAUGGAAGAAAUUUUCGACAGA